AUUGAACGCUGGCGGCAUGCUUUACACAUGCAAGUCGAACGGUAGGGUAGCAAUACCUGAGAGUGGCGAACGGGUGAGUAAUGCAUCGGAACAUGCCUAUUAGUGGGGGAUAGCCCGGCGAAAGCCGGAUUAAUACCGCAUACGAUCUAUGGAUGAAAGCUGGGGACCGCAAGGCCUGGCGCUAAUAGAGUGGCCGAUGUCAGAUUAGCUAGUUGGUGGGGUAAAGGCUCACCAAGGCGACGAUCUGUAGCUGGUUUGAGAGAACGACCAGCCACACUGGGACUGAGACACGGCCCAGACUCCUACGGGAGGCAGCAGUGGGGAAUUUUGGACAAUGGGCGAAAGCCUGAUCCAGCAAUGCCGCGUGCAGGAUGAAGGCCUUCGGGUUGUAAACUGCUUUUGUACGGAGCGAAAAGGCUUCCAUUAAUACUGGGGGCUCAUGACGGUACCGUAAGAAUAAGCACCGGCUAACUACGCGCCAGCAGCCGCCGUAA
rnacentral:rRNA from 1 species